rnacentral:rRNA from 1 species
GAUGAACGCUAGCGACAGGCCUAACACAUGCAAGUCGAGGGGCAGCACGAAUCAAGCUUGCUUGAUUUGGUGGCGACCGGCGCACGGGUGCGUAACAGGUGUGCAAUCUGUCCAUAAUCGGGGAAUAGCCCAGCGAAAGUUGGAUUAAUGCUCCAUGUGAGUUUUAGAGGCAUCUCUUUAACUUGAAACGUAAGGAUUAUGGGUGAGCACGCUUCUGAUUAGGUAGUUGGUGAGGUAACGGCUCACCAAGCCGACGAUCAGUAGGGGUUCUGAGAGGAAGGUCCCCCACAUUGGAACUGAGACACGGUCCAAACUCCUACGGGAGGCAGCAGUGAGGAAUAUUGGUCAAUGGGCGAAAGCCUGAACCAGCCAAGUCGCGUGAAGGAUGAAGGUUCUAUGGAUUGUAAACUUCUUUUGUCUGAGGGUAAAAAAGCGGACGUGUCCGUUCUUGCAAGUAUCAGACGAAUAAGCAUCGGCUAACUCCGUGCCAGCAGCCGCGGUAAAAC